CUACGGAGGGUGCAAGCGUUACUCGGAAUCACUGGGCGUAAAGCGCGCGCAGGCGGCUAUUUAAGUUGGAUGUGAAAGCCUACGGCUCAACCGUAGAACUGCAUCCAAAACUAUUUAGCUAGAGUGUGGGAGAGGAAGAUGGAAUUAGUUGUGUAGGGGUAAAAUCCGUAGAGAUAACUAGGAAUACCAAAAGCGAAGGCAAUCUUCUGGAACACUUCUGACGCUGAGGCGCGAAAGCGUGGGGAGCAAACAGGAUUAGAAACCCUAGUAGUCC
rnacentral:rRNA from 1 species